rnacentral:rRNA from 1 species
GCCAGACUCCUACGGGAGGCAGCAGUGGGGAAUAUUGCACAAUGGGGGAAACCCUGAUGCAGCGACGCCGCGUGAGUGAAGAAGUAAUUCGUUAUGUAAAGCUCUAUCAGCAGGGAAGAAAAUGACGGUACCUGAGUAAGAAGCCCCGGCUAACUACGUGCCAGCAGCCGCGGUAAUACGUAGGGGGCAAGCGUUAUCCGGAUUUACUGGGUGUAAAGGGAGCGUAGACGGUUAUGUAAGUCUGGAGUGAAAGCCCGGGGCCCAACCCCGGGACUGCUUUGGAAACUGUGUAACUGGAGUACAGGAGGGGCAGGCGGAAUUCCUGGUGUAGCGGUGAAAUGCGUAGAUAUCAGGAGGAACACCGGCGGCGAAGGCGGCCUGCUGGAGUGAAACUGACGUUGAGGCUCGAAAGCGUGGGGAGCAAACAGGAUUAGAUACCCGAGUAAA